UUCUUUAUUUCUAUCUAAACAUUCUUUUUGACCACUUUUCCCAGGCUGUGAUCCCUUGAUAUUGUUCAUGGGUUUGGUGCACGAUUCAAGCACAAUUCCAGAACAGGAGAAUUCCCACGGACAUCAGCAGGUACCUGAAGAUCUCCAAACCAUUCCUUCCUCCUGGGUGUGCACACAUUAAAGCGGGAGACUCCAAAGGGCAAAUUGCUGGAUCCAGGUUCUGGAUCAACAGGAGUUCAGAGAGUCAUGGAUCUGUUCCUUGAGG
rnacentral:lncRNA from 1 species